AUGGGCGUCCACAGAGGGGGGCAAGAGGGGUCAGUGCCCCCCCCUGGGACCAGCAGACUGACCAUCUGUUUAUUCGGGCAUUUUGUAAUGUGGGCCGCUCCUGAUCUAUAAUGUUCAUUUCAAACUGUGGGCUCUAGGACCGCUCCUCCGUCCCAGCUCCCACUGUGGCUCCGCCCCUUCCACUCGUCUCCGUUCUCAUGCUGUGCUGUGUGCAGGCCUGCCUGCCUGCCUGCCAUCAGGGGGGAACAAGGAAGAAAGUUUUGGGCCAGGCAGGAUUUAGGCUCAAAGGGGGAUUAGCCAGCCCCCCUUACGAGCGUGGACAUCACUGAUGCCGAAGACGGAAGUACAGGAACUGAUGUGAUUCUGUCCAGCGGAGUUCACAGCAGCCAUCUUCCGGCUCUUCGGUAAUCUUCGGAAUGAGAGCGGCCGUGACUUUCAGGACAUGUGCAGUGGUCUCGAAACAGAAAAUUGCUCCAACUGCACAAGCGCUGAUACACCACUUUCUUCCCGAAGAUUAGGGAAGAAAAUCAUAUGGCGCCCAGAAUAUCACUCUCUAUAGCAUACUAAAAGUUAACUCAAAGGUGAAAACCCCCUUUAAUGAUGGAAUCACAUGCAUUAUUGCUUUUAUAAAUAAGUGUAAUCCUGAACUAAUAAAUGUAUUAACUGAA